rnacentral:tRNA from 1 species
UAAUUUAUAUCAGCCACCCCACUA